rnacentral:rRNA from 1 species
GACGAACGCUGGCGGCGUGCCUAAUACAUGCAAGUAGAACGCAUUUGCGAACGGGUGAGUAACGCGUAGGUAACUGCCUCAUAGCGGGGGUUACCUAUUGGAAAGGAUAGCUAAUCCCGCAUACUGUGAGAUGUACCUGCGUUGUAUUAGCUAGUUGGUGUGGUAACGGCUCACAAAGGCGACGAUACAUAGCCGACCUGAGAGGGUGAUCAGCCACACUGGGACUGAGACACGGCCCAGACUCCUACGGGAGGAAGCAGUAGGGAAGCUGCGGCAAUGGACGGAAGGCUGACCGAGCAACGCCGCGUGAGUGAAGAAGGUUUUCGGAUCGUAAAACUCUGUUGUUAGAGAAGCGGUAUCUAACCAGAAAGCCACGGCUAACUACGUGCCAGCCGCCGCGGUAAUUC